rnacentral:rRNA from 1 species
GAUUAAGUUAUUAAGGGCGCACGGUGGAUGCCUUGGCACUAGAAGCCGAUGAAGGACGUUACUAACGACGAUAUGCUUUGGGGAGCUGUAAGUAAGCUUUGAUCCAGAGAUUUCCGAAUGGGGAAACCCAGCAUGAGUUAUGUCAUGUUAUCGAUAUGUGAAUACAUAGCAUAUCAGAAGGCACACCCGGAGAACUGAAACAUCUUAGUACCCGGAGGAAGAGAAAGAAAAUUCGAUUCCCUUAGUAGCGGCGAGCGAAACGGGAAGAGCCCAAACCAACAAGCUUGCUUGUUGGGGUUGUAGGACACUCUAUACGGAGUUACAAAGGACGACAUUAGACGAAUCAUCUGGAAAGAUGAAUCAAAGAAGGUAAUAAUCCUGUAGUCGAAAAUGUUGUCUCUCUUGAGUGGAUCCUGAGUACGACGGAGCACGUGAAAUUCCGUCGGAAUCUGGGAGGACCAUCUCCUAAGGCUAAAUACUCUCUAGUGACCGAUAGUGAACCAGUACCGUGAGGGAAAGGUGAAAAGCACCCCGGAAGGGGAGUGAAAUAGAACCUGAAACCGUGUGCUUACAAGUAGUCAGAGCCCGUUAAUGGGUGAUGGCGUGCCUUUUGUAGAAUGAACCGGCGAGUUACGAUUUGAUGCAAGGUUAAGCAGUAAAUGUGGAGCCGUAGCGAAAGCGAGUCUGAAUAGGGCGUUUAGUAUUUGGUCGUAGACCCGAAACCAGGUGAUCUACCCUUGGUCAGGUUGAAGUUCAGGUAACACUGAAUGGAGGACCGAACCGACUUACGUUGAAAAGUGAGCGGAUGAACUGAGGGUAGCGGAGAAAUUCCAAUCGAACCUGGAGAUAGCUGGUUCUCUCCGAAAUAGCUUUAGGGCUAGCCUCAAGUGAUGAUUAUUGGAGGUAGAGCACUGUUUGGACGAGGGGCCCCUCUCGGGUUACCGAAUUCAGACAAACUCCGAAUGCCAAUUAAUUUAACUUGGGAGUCAGAACAUGGGUGAUAAGGUCCGUGUUCGAAAGGGAAACAGCCCAGACCACCAGCUAAGGUCCCAAAAUAUAUGUUAAGUGGAAAAGGAUGUGGCGUUGCCCAGACAACUAGGAUGUUGGCUUAGAAGCAGCCAUCAUUUAAAGAGUGCGUAAUAGCUCACUAGUCGAGUGACACUGCGCCGAAAAUGUACCGGGGCUAAACAUAUUACCGAAGCUGUGGAUUGUCCUUUGGACAAUGGUAGGAGAGCGUUCUAAGGGCGUUGAAGCAUGAUCGUAAGGACAUGUGGAGCGCUUAGAAGUGAGAAUGCCGGUGUGAGUAGCGAAAGACGGGUGAGAAUCCCGUCCACCGAUUGACUAAGGUUUCCAGAGGAAGGCUCGUCCGCUCUGGGUUAGUCGGGUCCUAAGCUGAGGCCGACAGGCGUAGGCGAUGGAUAACAGGUUGAUAUUCCUGUACCACCUAUAAUCGUUUUAAUCGAUGGGGGGACGCAGUAGGAUAGGCGAAGCGUGCGAUUGGAUUGCACGUCUAAGCAGUAAGGCUGAGUAUUAGGCAAAUCCGGUACUCGUUAAGGCUGAGCUGUGAUGGGGAGAAGACAUUGNGUCUUCGAGUCGUUGAUUUCACACUGCCGAGAAAAGCCUCUAGAUAGAAAAUAGGUGCCCGUACCGCAAACCGACACAGGUAGUCAAGAUGAGAAUUCUAAGGUGAGCGAGCGAACUCUCGUUAAGGAACUCGGCAAAAUGACCCCGUAACUUCGGGAGAAGGGGUGCUCUUUAGGGUUAACGCCCAGAAGAGCCGCAGUGAAUAGGCCCAAGCGACUGUUUAUCAAAAACACAGGUCUCUGCUAAACCGUAAGGUGAUGUAUAGGGGCUGACGCCUGCCCGGUGCUGGAAGGUUAAGAGGAGUGGUUAGCUUCUGCGAAGCUACGAAUCGAAGCCCCAGUAAACGGCGGCCGUAACUAUAACGGUCCUAAGGUAGCGAAAUUCCUUGUCGGGUAAGUUCCGACCCGCACGAAAGGCGUAACGAUUUGGGCACUGUCUCAACGAGAGACUCGGUGAAAUCAUAGUACCUGUGAAGAUGCAGGUUACCCGCGACAGGACGGAAAGACCCCGUGGAGCUUUACUGUAGCCUGAUAUUGAAAUUCGGCACAGCUUGUACAGGAUAGGUAGGAGCCUUUGAAACGUGAGCGCUAGCUUACGUGGAGGCGCUGGUGGGAUACUACCCUAGCUGUGUUGGCUUUCUAACCCGCACCACUUAUCGUGGUGGGAGACAGUGUCAGGCGGGCAGUUUGACUGGGGCGGUCGCCUCCUAAAAGGUAACGGAGGCGCUCAAAGGUUCCCUCAGAAUGGUUGGAAAUCAUUCAUAGAGUGUAAAGGCAUAAGGGAGCUUGACUGCGAGACCUACAAGUCGAGCAGGGUCGAAAGACGGACUUAGUGAUCCGGUGGUUCCGCAUGGAAGGGCCAUCGCUCAACGGAUAAAAGCUACCCCGGGGAUAACAGGCUUAUCUCCCCCAAGAGUUCACAUCGACGGGGAGGUUUGGCACCUCGAUGUCGGCUCAUCGCAUCCUGGGGCUGUAGUCGGUCCCAAGGGUUGGGCUGUUCGCCCAUUAAAGCGGUACGCGAGCUGGGUUCAGAACGUCGUGAGACAGUUCGGUCCCUAUCCGUCGUGGGCGUAGGAAAUUUGAGAGGAGCUGUCCUUAGUACGAGAGGACCGGGAUGGACAUACCUCUGGUGUACCAGUUGUCGUGCCAACGGCAUAGCUGGGUAGCUAUGUGUGGACGGGAUAAGUGCUGAAAGCAUCUAAGCAUGAAGCCCCCCUCAAGAUGAGAUUUCCCAACUUCGGUUAUAAGAUCCCUCAAAGAUGAUGAGGUUAAUAGGUUCGAGGUGGAAGCAUGGUGACAUGUGGAGCUGACGAAUACUAAUCGAUCGAAGACUUAAUCAA